GGAGGAGGCGCGCGCGUCCACACGCACACCAGUUUAUCUGUCACCGGCAGCACGUGCGGCUCUGGGCAGCAGCAGAUACAUAUCUCACGCAGGCGCUGUAGAGUUUAAUAAUACAAUUACACUAGGAAAAAAACAACAACAUAUAGAUAUAUUAAAGUAUAUACAUACAGACCCAGGAAUACACACCGGAGGGAUUAGUGUGAGACGACGGACUGACAGGGAUUACUUCCUGUGGGGGCGGGGCUUUGUGAACACAGGGCUGGUGUGCCUUCGGACGUGUCUUCAACCCAGAUAUGAAGCUGUUCAUGGACUCAGUCUGACCUCAUUAAGGGGACCUCUUUGAAGUUAUCCCAGAUGAUGAUGCACAAGCAGCCGGUCCGCACCUCUCCAGGAAGUGUGUGUUCACUGCGAGAGGGGGCGGUGCCGGGAACUCCCUCCCUCACUAUAGUGGCGCGGAUGGAUGAUCAGGUGAUCGGCUAUAAGGACUUGGCCGCCCUCCCUACAGAUAAGGCCAUACUGGACAUCGAGCGUCCCGACCUGAUGAUAUACGAACCACACUUCAACGACACAAUGCUGGAACACACUGAGAGCUCCCUCUCUCCACGCUCCAUCUCUCCUCCUCUAUCUCCAGAGAGCUCGGUCAUGUCGAAGGAGUCGAGGGAGUGUGUGGAGCAGAAGUCCUCGGGCAGCUCGUCCCCGGCCUCCACACUGCUGCCCGUGUGCAGGAGGAGCAGCCUGGGCAAGAGCGCGCCGCAUCAGCAGCACUUCCACAGACCCGCGAACACCAAUAACGGCGCCAAUAUUUACAAGAAGCCACCCAUCUAUAAACAAGACGUGCCUCCUGUCCCUCAGACUAAACACAUGGAGGAUCUGAUCAUCGAGUCGUCACGUUUUCCCGCCGCUCAGCCGCCCAACCCAAACCUGCCGUCCAAGAUCGAGACCGAGUCCUGGCCCUGUCCCCCGUCCCUCGCUGUUCUGGAGUCAGAGUGGAGGAGGAAGUCAGCAGGAGAGGAAGAGGAGGAGGACGAGGAAGAGCAGGACGAGUAUGAGGAAGGGGAUGAGCUGUGGAGACUCAGACAGAUGCAGAAACAGGAACUCAACAAGAUUCAGUCUAAUUUAGGGAAGUUGAUCCUGAUGGAGGAGAUUGAGGGAGCGACUCCAAUGCGCAGGAAAACCCGCUCUCUCCCCGACCGCUCGCCCACUCAACUCGGAACCAGGUCUCCGUCGUUCCCUUCAUGCAGUCGGAGCGGUCUGAGCCGGCUCCAGUCUGCAGAGUUCUCCUCCUCCUCCUCACACACUGAUAAAGCCGGUCACAGUGAGUUAUUACACUCUCGUUACACUCUGCUUUAUAACGCCGCUCUAAUACACAGCGUUAAUCAGAUACAAUCCUUUUUAUCUUCCUUUUACAGGUUACCAGGUACGUUUUUAAACGUUAUGUCCUCAUCUCAACACUUCUACUGCUUCCGUGUUUAUUAUACCAUGAGUGUGUGUGUGUGUGUGUGUGUGUGUGGGUGUAGAAUGGAGAUGCUCAGGGCAGGAGGAUGGACAGAGGGAACUCGCUGCCCACCGUGCUCGAGCAAAAGAUUUAUCCCUACGAGAUGCUCAUGGUGACUCACCGAGGCAGAAAUAAACUCCCACCAGGAGUGGACCGGACCAGGCUGGAGAGGCACCUCUCUCCCAAGGAGUUUGAGGAUCUGUUCGGGAUGACGAUGGAGGAGUUUGAUCGCCUGUCGCUCUGGAAGAGGAACGAAUUGAAGAAAAAAAUCUUGUUAUUUUAGCUCUAGAGGAGAAAAUUUUACGCACGCGACACACAAAACACACGAUGACGACGAGAAGCCACCAGCAGCAGGACGACCAGCGCUAAACA